UAGGGGGCAAGCGUUAUCCGGAUUUACUGGGUGUAAAGGGAGCGCAGACGGAUGGAUAAGUCUGAAGUGAAAGCCCGCGGCUCAACUGCGGGACUGCUUUGGAAACUGUGCAUCUUGAGUACGGGAGGGGCAGGCGGAAUUCCUGGUGUAGCGGUGAAAUGCGUAGAUAUCAGGAGGAAAACCGGCGGCGAAGGCGGCCUGCUGGACCGAAACUGACGUUGAGGCUCGAAAGCGUGGGGAGCAAA
rnacentral:rRNA from 1 species